rnacentral:rRNA from 1 species
CACCGCGGUAAUUCCAGCUCCAAUAGCGUAUAUUAAAGUUGUUGCAGUUAAAAAGCUCGUAGUUGAACUUCGGGGUUUACCCAUUGGUCAGGCUUAAUUGUCUGUACUGGUGAGAUAAAUCUCUACCUUCUGAGGAACUUUCAUGCCAUUUAUUUGGUGUGAUUGGAAAUCAGGACUAUUACUUUGAAAAAAUUAGAGUGUUUAAAGCAGGCUAACGUCUGAAUAUAUUAGCAUGGAAUAAUGAAAUAGGACGGCUUGGUUCUAUUUCGUUGGUUUCUAGGAUCACCGUAAUGAUUAAUAGGGAUAGUUGGGGGCAUUAGUAUUCAAUUGUCAGAGGUGAAAUUCUUGGAUUUAUUGAAGACUAACUACUGCGAAAGCAUUUGCCAAGGAUGUUUUCAUUAAUCAAGAACGAAAGUUAGGGGAUCGAAGACGAUCAGAUACCGUCGUAGUCUUAACCAUAAACUAUGCCGACUAGGGAUCGGACGAAGUUAAUUUUAUAAUGACGCGUUCGGCACCUUACG